rnacentral:lncRNA from 1 species
CACGAGUGAUGCGAGGUUGAUUAAAUAAUCAAGACCGGUUAAGACAAGAUUUUCAAGACCUCGUACGCAAUGCAACUCUGGGUGAAGGACGGUUGAUCGGCUCCCUGGAGAACCGAGUGGAUGACCCGGGAUGCUGGAGAGGCCAUGACAUCCUGCGGAAAGCUUCACCCAGGCUCAAAGAGACGGACGGAUAUUUUCAAGACCCAAGGCUUACCUGCAC